GAGUGACUGGUAGUGGUGGAGCCAGGAUCCACCCCUUCUCAGACCUCAUUUAAGGGUUGGUAGUGGAGUUGAGAGCAUCUUCUUUGGGGAUCUCUGUGUAGCUUGAGGACUUUAUGGGCAUUCUGAAGAGGGGAAGAUGAAACUACUCACAAGUUGCAAGAUGUCCCCUUUUACUGCUUGUCUCUGCAUGCUCUCCAGCCAUCUCACCUUCAGCAUUUGAGUUCCACGUGCCUUGUUCUUAAGGAGUGACUCACUAUGGCCUAAAAAGCAAUGGAAAUCUUCCCAACUGGGGAAAAGUGUGUGGAAGUGGAUCAAAGGCCCAGGUGAGCCUCUGUGACUGAAAUCUUCUGCAAUGAGGGACUGGAGGAGACCUCCGUUCAAGGCACACAGCAAGUGAUUCUCAGGGAGUUUCCCCUUAUCCCGGCUCCAUUGGGACCAGCCACAACUUCCUUGGAGUAUGUUACUGUAGUAUUGAAUGAAUUGAAAUGGAAGUUAUGGGUUAUCUCCAAGCAGGAUCAUGAAGUACCAAGUGGUGGAACAUGAGGGCAUGCAAACGUUUGUGGAUGGUAGCAGUUUGGUGUGAGAUUGCUUAAAAGGCCAGGUAAAGCUACAUGCUGAAGAAAAAAUUAGUCCUCAUGAAGUUGUGUAUGGAAGACCACUUCAGGUAUUGGCAGGUUCAUGGCACAGGUGGUACUAACACCUCUGGAAGUCACAAUACAUCUGUCCAAACUGAUGAGUGGAUGUAUCUAUGGACUCGGAGCUCUGAAGCACUACAGGAGAAGUGGAAAGGACUGUAUCAAAUACUACUGACAACAGAAGCUGCUACCAAGGUGUUAGGAGUAGACUCUUGAAUUCAUUACACAAGAAUAAAAAGCACCUAGCCCACAGUGGCAAGUAGAACCAACUGCACUGCUGAAACUGAAAUUUUCACAUAAAUGAAUGUAGCUUGUAAACAAGGAAAUGAAAAAUGUUAUGCAAUUAAAUGAAGUUAUUGAGGUAUGGUUACCAUUAGAGUAUAUAGUGAUUGUUUGCCUUAUAUUAACUGCAUCAACUGUGUGUGGAAAAAACCUCUUCUGCAGUACUUAAGGGAUAUAUAUUCUGCUUGUCUAAAAUAACAUUUUAGUAAUACUUAUGCUUAUUUAUAGUGUGGGAUCGAAAUAAGCACAUGAAAUUGAUGGAAAAGGUGUUGGAUAUGCUCAGUUGUCAAAAUGUGGCAAGUCCAUACCUAUGAUGGGGAUUAUCACUAUUGAAACAGAGUUGGGGUACAGUAUUUGUUAUCAAACCUGUGGGGUACUUUGUAGACAAAUACAGAAUCACAAACAUAGAUUGUAGAGACCCAGCCUAUGAAUGAGACCAUUUGCCUGGAUACAGGGACUAGUCAGUUAGGGAAGGCUCCAGUAGUAAGAUAGCUGCACUGUAAAUGGACUAGAGAAAUGAGUAUUUUGGGGGAGGGGGUGGGAACAGGGAUAAAUAUUGGGUGUCAGCCAAAGGGAAAGGAUGGCACUUGCUGUGUGGAGAUCAAGCUUGGAAGAUAUCACUCCUGUGGUGGACUGGAACCUUUACCCUAGGAAUAGUAAUGCCAAAGGUUAACAGAUAAAUUAACUAGGAUAAUACAGGCCCAAGUACCCUCAAAAGUCAAGAGAAUUGCUCAUUCCACCAAUGGAAAGACCUGGUAGAUUUCACUCAUUCAUCAGGUGGUUAAUUCCCUUUUUAGGAGUUGUAGAAUUGGAAAAGGCUGUAGUGAACACCUCAGCAGAUAUGAAACACCUUGAAAGUAGAACUUUGGAUGCUAUUAUUGCCAUUGAAGUCCAAAGCUUAGCCAGAGUGGCUAAGGGAAUGCAAAAUAGAAUGGCUUUAGGUAUGUUGUUAACUGCACAAGGGGGAAUUGAUACAAUAGCAAGUACUAGUGGUUGUGUUCAUGUAGAUCAGAGUGGUGGAAUAGAAACAAAUGCAUAUAUGAAACCAAACUAAAGUAAUGCAUGAAGUAAUGCAUAAAGUAAGCCAAGAUGAUGUAAGCUGAAACCAAAAUGACUUCCUGGCUUCCCAAAUUCAAAUGGUUAAAGAAGUUUUCUGUGGAAUAGUGUGUAAUCACUAUAUGUAUCAUUGCUUGUUGCACGAUUGAAUGUUGGAGGUAUAUCUAAAUUUGAAAGGUCAAGAGUGGUGAGGAUUAGGAUAGUAAUCCUCAAAAAGAAAAUAGCAAUAGGGAUUAGUGCAUUAGUUUAAGAAUCAAAAUAUUAGGUUAGCAUAAGAAAUCUAAGUGAUAGCUCUGAAACUUCCAGUUUUAGCUUUAGUCUUGUCCCCAGUGCAGAACUGAGGAGAAACAGAAUACUUUAAUCUUCUAUUUCAAUGAUUGUGGCUCACAAGAAGUAUUGGAGUUGCAAUAGAAUGGUUGUCCUUGCACAUUUUGAUGCAAAAGAUUUUCCUUGGGUUCUGCAUACGCUGUUUUUCAAGAAGUGACUCACUAUGGCCUAAUAAGCAAUGGGAAUCUUCCAGACUUGGGAAAAAUGGAUGGAAAUGAGCUGCAGUGAAUUAAGCUGAUGGUGGGGGGGGAAAAAAGCAGGUAGGCACUCAAUCACCCGGGGUAUUACUGAGCAUGCUCAAAGGGAAAUUAGCACAUAUCUAUGAGACCAUGGAAAAAGAAUGAAUAUGUAUGUUAAUAUACUGCAUAUGUAUGUCUUAACUGUUUAAAUGUAGAACCUGAACUCUGAGAGGAUGUGCUUGCCUGUCACGUUGCCCAGUGUGCAUCAUGAGGAAUAAAGGAAUGCCACUUUCUAACACCACACUGGAGAUAGAAUUUUUUCCCCUGGAUUUUGGCUGACUGCGUUUUGAUCAAUCACUUGGAAUUUUUCUGGAAUAAUUUCUGUCUGUAUUAUGUAUACUGUAGUCCAUUCUUGUUUUUUACAUCAAUAAAACCUGUAGAUAAUAGAGAAUAUUGCAUGCUGAUUAAGGAAUGCAAGUGACAAAAUUUCAAGUCGUUAAGAUUAGGGAAACUGACUAAACUAGAAGGACAUGAUUUAGGAAACAAUUAUCCAUCCCAGAUGAGAGAGUGCUACAGAUUUAAUUGAAAAACCUAUGGAAUGCAUUACUGUUAAUUAAAUCACACCCCAUGCAAGUUAUUAAAGUAUUUUCCCUUGUGCAGGUGAUAAACAUUCCAUUUUGCACAGAAGAAAUGAAGCAGAACACAAAGAGGCAAUAUGAAAUUAAAAAGGGACUGAAGUUUUCAUAGCACAAAAUGUAUUAUUCAAAAAUCAAGGAAUUUGGAUGCAAAUGAUGGAACAAGGGGGGGGGGAAAGCUGAAGAAGAGGUCUCAUUUGUGUACAGAGCAGCUAGGACAG